rnacentral:rRNA from 1 species
UAGAUACCCUGGUAGUCCACGCCGUAAACGGUGGGCACUAGGUGUGGGGGACAUUCCACGUUCUCCGUGCCGAAGCUAACGCAUUAAGUGCCCCGCCUGGGGAGUACGGCCGCAAGGCUAAAACUCAAAGGAAUUGACGGGGGCCCGCACAAGCGGCGGAGCAUGCGGAUUAAUUCGAUGCAACGCGAAGAACCUUACCUGGGUUUGACAUACACCGGAAAGCUGCAGAGAUGUAGCCUCCGCAAGGUCG